GAUGAACGCUGGCGGCGUGCUUAACACAUGCAAGUCGAACGAAGCACCUCUCCCGAAGAUUGACACAGCUUGCUGUAGAUUGAUUCAUUUGAGGUGACUGAGUGGCGGACGGGUGAGUAACGCGUGAGUAACCUGCCUCAUAGAGGGGGACAACAGUUGGAAACGACUGCUAAUACCGCAUAGUAAGAAGAAUUCGCAUGUUUUCUUCUUGAAAGAUUUAUCGCUAUGAGAUGGACCCGCGUCUGAUUAGCUAGUUGGUAAGGUAACGGCUUACCAAGGCGACGAUCAGUAGCCGGCUUGAGAGAGUGAACGGCCACAUUGGGACUGAGACACGGCCCAAACUCCUACGGGAGGCAGCAGUGGGGAAUAUUGCACAAUGGGGGAAACCCUGAUGCAGCGACGCCGCGUGAGUGAAGAAGUAUUUCGGUAUGUAAAGCUCUAUCAGCAGGGAAGAUAAUGACGGUACCUGACUAAGAAGCCCCGGCUAACUACGUG
rnacentral:rRNA from 1 species